ACUCAUUUGUUUCGGUAUCAUGAAAACUGGGAUGAUACAGAGAAGAUUAACAUGGCCCCUGGUGCAAAGAUGACACGCAGACUCGUGAAGCGUUCUUCAUUGGG